GCUUAUGGCCAUACCACCCUGAGCGCGCCCGAUCUCGUCUGAUCUCGGAAGCUAAGCAGGGUCGGGCCUGGUUAGUACUUGGAUGGGAGACCGCCUGGGAAUACCAGGUGCUGUAAGCU
ensembl:rRNA 5S_rRNA 5S ribosomal RNA